UACGGGGGGAGCAAGCGUUGUUCGGAUUUACUGGGCGUAAAGGGCGCGUAGGCGGCCAGCACAAGUCAGUUGUGAAAUCUCCGAGCUUAACUCGGAAAGGUCAACUGAUACUGUGCGGCUAGAGUGCGGAAGGGGCAACUGGAAUUCUUGGUGUAGCGGUGAAAUGCGUAGAUAUCGGGAGGAACACCAGUGGCGAAGGCGGCGACCUGGGCCAAUACUGACGCUGAGGUGCGAAAGCGUGGGGAGCAAACAGG
rnacentral:rRNA from 1 species